rnacentral:pre_miRNA from 1 species
CUUGUACUCCCUCCGUCCGAAAAUACUUGUCAUUGAAAUGGAUGUAUCUAGAUGUAUUUUAGUUCUAGACACAUCCAUUUUGAUGACAAGUAAUUACGGAUGGAGGGAGUACUUG